rnacentral:rRNA from 1 species
CCUACGGGAGGCAGCAGUGAGGAAUAUUGGUCAAUGGGCGCAAGCCUGAACCAGCCAAGUCGCGUGAAGGAUGACGGAUCUAUGGUUUGUAAACUUCUUUUAUAUGGGGAUAAAGUGAGGAACGUGUUCCUGUUUGUAUGUACCAUAUGAAUAAGCAUCGGCUAACUCCGUGCCAGCAGCCGCGGUAAUACGGAGGAUGCGAGCGUUAUCCGGAUUUAUUGGGUUUAAAGGGUGCGUAGGUGGUUAAUUAAGUCAGCGGUGAAAGUUUGUGGCUCAACUAUAACAUUGCCGUUGAAACUGGUUGACUUGAGUAUAUUUGAGGUAGGCGGAAUGCGUGGUGUAGCGGUGAAAUGCAUAGAUAUCACACAGAACACCGAUUGCGAAGGCAGCUUACUAAACUAUAACUGACACUGAAGCACGAAAGCGUGGGGAGCAAACAGGAUUAGAUACCCUGGUAGUC